UACGGGGGGAGCAAGCGUUGUUCGGAUUUACUGGGCGUAAAGGGCGCGUAGGCGGUCAGCACAAGUCAGUUGUGAAAUCUCCGGGCUUAACUCGGAAAGGUCAACUGAUACUGUGCGACUAGAGUGCAGAAGGGGCAACUGGAAUUCUCGGUGUAGCGGUGAAAUGCGUAGAUAUCAGGAGGAACACCGGUGGCGAAAGCGACUCUCUGGGCCGAUACUGACGCUGAGGAGCGAAA
rnacentral:rRNA from 1 species